rnacentral:rRNA from 1 species
UACAGAGGGUGCGAGCGUUAAUCGGAAUUACUGGGCGUAAAGCGCGCGUAGGCGGCUUUGCAAGUCGGGUGUGAAAUCCCCAGGCUUAACCUGGGAACUGCAUUCGAGACUGCAUUGCUAGAGUAUGGGAGAGGGAAGUGGAAUUUCCGGUGUAGCGGUGAAAUGCGUAGAUAUCGGGAGGAACACCAGUGGCGAAGGCGGUUGCCUGGGGCUGUGCUGACGCUGAUGCGCGAAAGCGUGGGGAGCGAUCCGG